CGAUACGGGCAGACUAGAGGUAUUCAGGGAGAACGGAAUUUCCUGGUGUAGCGGUGAAAUGCGCAGAUAUCAGGAGGAACACCGGUGGCGAAGGGCGGUUCUCUGGGAAUGACCUGACGCUGAGGAGCGAAAGUGUGGGGAGCGAACAGGAUUAGAUACCCUGGUAGUCCACACCGUAAAACGUUGGGCGCCUAGGGUGUGGGGUCCAUUUCCACGGAUUCCGUGCCGCAGCUAACGCAUUAAGCGCCCCGCCUGGGGAGUACGGCCGCAAGGCUAAAACUCAAAGGAAUUGACGGGGGCCCGCACAAGCGGCGGAGCAUGCGGAUUAAUUCGAUGCAACGCGAAGAACCUUACCUGGGUUUGACAUACACCCUGCCGCUCCAGAGAUGGGGCUUCUUUUGGGGGUGUACAGGUGGUGCAUGGCUGUCGUCAGCUCGUGUCGUGAGAUGUUGGGUUAAGUCCCGCAACGAGCGCAACCCUCGUUCUAUGUUGCCAGCACGUAAUGGUGGGGACUCAUAGGAGACUGCCGGGGUCAACUCGGAGGAAGGUGGGGAUGACGUCAAGUCAUCAUGCCCCUUAUGUCCAGGGCUUCACGCAUGCUACAAUGGCCGGUACAAAGGGCUGCGAUCCCGUAAGGGGGAGCGAAUCCCAAAAAGCCGGUCUCAGUUCGGAUUGGGGUCUGCAACUCGACCCCAUGAAGUCGGAGUCGCUAGUAAUCGCAGAUCAGCAACGCUGCGGUGAAUACGUUCCCGGGCCUUGUACACACCGCCCGUCACGUCACGAAAGUCGGCAACACCCGAAGCCGGUGGCCCAACCCUUGUGGAGGGAGCCGUCGAAGGUGGGGCUGGA
rnacentral:rRNA from 1 species